UGUUUCGGCUAGGGGGCCAUCCCGGCUUACCAACCCGAUGCAAACUGCGAAUACCGGAGAAUGUUAUCACGGGAGACACACGGCGGGUGCUAACGUCCGUCGUGAAGAGGGAAACAACCCAGACCGCCAGCUAAGGUCCCAAAGUCAUGGUUAAGUGGGAAACGAUGUGGGAAGGCCCAGACAGCCAGGAUGUUGGCUUAGAAGCAGCCAUCAUUUAAAGAAAGCGUAAUAGCUCACUGGUCGAGUCGGCCUGCGCGGAAGAUGUAACGGGGCUAAACCAUGCACCGAAGCUGCGGCAGCGAACGUAUCACUUAAAGCGAUUCAGCGGGUUACGAUUGACGGAGCGAAGCGACGUCAAAGCGUAUACAAAGUCGAGUCGGUUUAAGGAUACGUUCGUUGGGUAGGGGAGCGUUCUGUAAGCCUGCGAAGGUGGCCUGUGAGGGUUGCUGGAGGUAUCAGAAGUGCGAAUGCUGACAUAAGUAACGAUAAAGCGGGUGAAAAGCCCGCUCGCCGGAAGACCAAGGGUUCCUGUCCAACGUUAAUCGGGGCAGGGUGAGUCGACCCCUAAGGCGAGGCCGAAAGGCGUAGUCGAUGGGAAACGGGUUAAUAUUCCCGUACUUGGUGUUACUGCGAAGGGGGGACGGAGAAGGCUAUGUUGGCCGGGCGACGGUUGUCCCGGUUUAAGCGUGUAGGUGUGUGUUCCAGGUAAAUCCGGUUCACUUUAACACUGAGGCGUGACGACGAGGCACUACGGUGCUGAAGCAACAAAUGCCCUGCUUCCAGGAAAAGCCUCUAAGCAUCAGGUAACAUCAAAUCGUACCCCAAACCGACACAGGUGGUCAGGUAGAGAAUACCAAGGCGCUUGAGAGAACUCGGGUGAAGGAACUAGGCAAAAUGGUGCCGUAACUUCGGGAGAAGGCACGCUGACAUGUAGGUGAAGUGAUUUACUCAUGGAGCUGAAGUCAGUCGAAGAUACCAGCUGGCUGCAACUGUUUAUUAAAAACACAGCACUGUGCAAACACGAAAGUGGACGUAUACGGUGUGACGCCUGCCCGGUGCCGGAAGGUUAAUUGAUGGGGUCAGCGCAAGCGAAGCUCCUGAUCGAAGCCCCGGUAAACGGCGGCCGUAACUAUAACGGUCCUAAGGUAGCGAAAUUCCUUGUCGGGUAAGUUCCGACCUGCACGAAUGGCGUAAUGAUGGCCAGGCUGUCUCCACCCGAGACUCAGUGAAAUUGAACUCGCUGUGAAGAUGCAGUGUACCCGCGGCAAGACGGAAAGACCCCGUGAACCUUUACUAUAGCUUGACACUGAACAUUGAGCCUUGAUGUGUAGGAUAGGUGGGAGGCUUUGAAGUGUGGACGCCAGUCUGCAUGGAGCCGACCUUGAAAUACCACCCUUUAAUGUUUGAUGUUCUAACGUGGACCCGUGAUCCGGGUUGCGGACAGUGUCUGGUGGGUAGUUUGACUGGGGCGGUCUCCUCCUAAAGAGUAACGGAGGAGCACGAAGGUUGGCUAAUCCUGGUCGGACAUCAGGAGGUUAGUGCAAUGGCAUAAGCCAGCUUGACUGCGAGCGUGACGGCGCGAGCAGGUGCGAAAGCAGGUCAUAGUGAUCCGGUGGUUCUGAAUGGAAGGGCCAUCGCUCAACGGAUAAAAGGUACUCCGGGGAUAACAGGCUGAUACCGCCCAAGAGUUCAUAUCGACGGCGGUGUUUGGCACCUCGAUGUCGGCUCAUCACAUCCUGGGGCUGAAGUAGGUCCCAAGGGUAUGGCUGUUCGCCAUUUAAAGUGGUACGCGAGCUGGGUUUAGAACGUCGUGAGACAGUUCGGUCCCUAUCUGCCGUGGGCGCUGGAGAACUGAGGGGGGCUGCUCCUAGUACGAGAGGACCGGAGUGGACGCAUCACUGGUGUUCGGGUUGUCAUGCCAAUGGCACUGCCCGGUAGCUAAAUGCGGAAGAGAUAAGUGCUGAAAGCAUCUAAGCACGAAACUUGCCCCGA
rnacentral:rRNA from 1 species